UGGGGAAUUGUUCGCAAUGGGCGCAAGCCUGACGACGCAACGCCGCGUGGAGGAUGAAGGUCUUCGGAUUGUAAACUCCUGUUGAUCGGGACGAAUGGCCUUUGGGUUAAUACCCCAGAGGAGUGACGGUACCGGUUGAGGAAGCCCCGGCUAACUCUGUGCCAGCAGCCGCGGUAAUACAGAGGGGGCAAGCGUUGUUCGGAAUUACUGGGCGUAAAGGGCGCGUAGGCGGCCAUCUAAGUCGGACGUGAAAUCCCUCGGCUCAACCGAGGAACUGCGUCCGAUACUGAAUGGCUUGAGUUCGGGAGAGGGAUGUGGAAUUCCAGGUGUAGCGGUGAAAUGCGUAGAUAUCUGGAGGAACAUCUGUGGCGAAGGCGGCAUCCUGGACCGACACUGACGCUGAGGCGCGAAAGCCAGGGGAGCAAACGGG
rnacentral:rRNA from 1 species